rnacentral:rRNA from 1 species
GAUGAACGCUGGCGGCGUGCCUAAUACAUGCAAGUCGAGCGAACAGACGAGGAGCUUGCUCCUCUGACGUUAGCGGCGGACGGGUGAGUAACACGUGGAUAACCUACCUAUAAGACUGGGAUAACUUCGGGAAACCGGAGCUAAUACCGGAUAACAUGUUGAACCGCAUGGUUCAACAGUGAAAGACGGUUUUGCUGUCACUUAUAGAUGGAUCCGCGUCGCAUUAGCUAGUUGGUAAGGUAACGGCUUACCAAGGCAACGAUGCGUAGCCGACCUGAGAGGGUGAUCGGCCACACUGGAACUGAGACACAGUCCAGACUCCUACGGGAGGCAGCAGUAGGGAAUCUUCCGCAAUGGGCGAAAGCCUGACGGAGCAACGCCGCGUGAGUGAAGAAGGUCUUCGGAUCGUAAAACUCUGUUAUUAGGGAAGAACAAAUGUGUAAGUAACUAUGCACGUCUUGACGGUACCUAAUCAGAAAGCCACGGCUAACUACGUG